rnacentral:rRNA from 1 species
GAUGAACGCUAGCUACAGGCUUAACACAUGCAAGUCGAGGGGCAGCACGGAGACUGCUUGCAGUCUCUGGUGGCGACCGGCGGAUGGGUGAGUAACGCGUAUCCAACCUGCCCGUGACCCGGGGACAGCCUUCCGAAAGGAAGAUUAAUACCCGAUGUUCCGGCGUGCGCGCAUGCGCUGCGCCGGCAAAGUUUUUCUGCGGUGACGGAUGGGGAUGCGUCUGAUUAGGCAGCAGGCGGGGUAACGGCCCACCUGGCCAUCGAUCAGUAGGGGUUCUGAGAGGAAGGUCCCCCACAUUGGAACUGAGACACGGUCCAAACUCCUACGGGAGGCAGCAGUGAGGAAUAUUGGUCAAUGGGCGCAAGCCUGAACCAGCCAAGUAGCGUGCAGGAUGACGGCCCUACGGGUUGUAAACUGCUUUUGCGCGGGAGCAAAGAGGGGCACGCGUGCCCCGUUGCGCGUACCGCGUGAAUAAGCGUCGGCUAAUUCCGUGCC